rnacentral:tRNA from 1 species
GCUCUCGUGGUGAAAUGGAUAUCAUUACUGACUUCGGAUCAGUCGUUCCAGGUUCGAGUCCUGGCGGGAGCA